CUCCUUGACCCUCAGAUCAUCUCCAAGAUCAUGGCUGGACUCGAUCUGGAUUAUAAUCCAGUUGUGUCCGCCCUGGCUGCUAGGGUUAAGCCAGUCUCGGUUCAGGAGUUGUACAACCAGCUCUUGAGCUUUGAUG
rfam:Triticum aestivum genome assembly, contig: Triticum_aestivum_CS42_TGACv1_scaffold_253071_3DL